rnacentral:rRNA from 1 species
GACGAACGCUGGCGGCGUGCUUAACACAUGCAAGUCGAACGGAAAGGCCCCUUUGGGGGUACUCGAGUGGCGAACGGGUGAGUAACACGUGAGUAACCUGCCCUUGACUUCGGGAUAACUUCAGGAAACUGGGGCUAAUACCGGAUAGGAAUCCUUGCUGCAUGGUGGGGGUUGGAAAGCUUCGGCGGUUUUGGAUGGACUCGCGGCUUAUCAGCUUGUUGGUGGGGUAGUGGCUUACCAAGGCUUUGACGGGUAGCCGGCCUGAGAGGGCGACCGGCCACAUUGGGACUGAGAUACGGCCCAGACUCCUACGGGAGGCAGCAGUGGGGAAGAUUGCACAAUGGGCGGAAGCCUGAUGCAGCAACGCCGCGGGCGGGAUGACGGCCUUCGGGUUGGAAACCGCUUUCAGCAGGGGCGAAGCUUGUGGUGACGGUACCUGCAGAAGAAGCACCGGCUAACUACGUG